AUCCAGCUGACGAGUCUCAAAUAGGACGAAACGCGCGUCCUAGGU
rfam:Schistosoma mansoni strain Puerto Rico chromosome 2, complete genome